GACAGAGGUGCCGAGCGUUAGGCGGAAUCACUGGGCUUAAAGCGUGUGUAGGCGGACCUGUAAGUACCUUGUGAAAUCCCACGGCUCAACCGUGGAACUGCUGGGUAUACUGCGGGUCUUGAGCCACCUAGGGGCGAGCGGAACAAGUGGUGGAGCGGUGAAAAUGCGUAGAUAUCACUUGGAACGCCAAUGGUGAAAACAGCUCGCUGGGGGUGUGCUGACGCUGAGACACGAAAGCCAGGGGAGCAAACGGG
rnacentral:rRNA from 1 species